rnacentral:rRNA from 1 species
UCGAGAAUCUUCGGCAAUGGGCGCAAGCCUGACCGAGCGACGCCGCGUGGAGGACGAAGGCCUUCGGGUUGUAAACUCCUGUCGAGGGGGGGAAAGGCACCGCAAGGUGCUUGAUCGAUCCCUGGAGGAAGCACGGGCUAAGUUCGUGCCAGCAGCCGCGGUAAGACGAACCGUGCGAACGUUAUUCGGAAUCACUGGGCUUAAAGCGCGUGUAGGCGGAUCGGAACGUCGGCGCCUGAAAUCCCCCGGCUCAACCGGGGAACGUGGCCCGAAACGACCGAUCUCGAGGGGUGUAGGGGGGACUGGAACUUCCGGUGGAGCGGUGAAAUGCGUUGAGAUCGGAAGGAACGCCCGUGGCGAAAGCGAGUCCCUGGACGCCUGCUGACGCUGAGACGCGAAAGCUAGGGGAGCGAACG